UUUGACUAGUUGACUUGUGAGGGGAACUUAGCUGCUAAAGACUCUGGCAGUUCCAUUUCUUCCAAGUUCAAAAAGAGAAGAAGCUGAAGUCGGAGGACAGUGUUUUCCCAUUUCAAUUGAAGUUACAGAAAAAAAAAAAAACCCUCCCUCAAGAAUGUUGGAGAAAUGAGGAGAGAACACAGCAAGAAGGAGAGCAGAUGGGGUGGGAUUUUCCUUCAGCCACAUGACACGGCAGAAAUGGCAGCUCAUUAUUUUCCAAUCCUAAAACCCAGACCUUUGGAGAGGCUGGAAAGGCAAAAGCUAAAGGGAUGUGGAUACUGAGGCCCACACAGUCAUUGUCUUGUCCAUGAUUAUAAAGGCAAAUAUUAAGAACUGUGAUUUUAUGAUGAACUGACGGGACUCAAGUAACUGAAGAAGAAAUUAUUCAAUUAACAAAUAGGCUGUCAAAUGAUCACAGGCAAUACAUAGACUGGCCGCGGAAAAGGAAGCAUUUGUUUUAGAAUUGGAACAUGGAAGAUUUAUGGAAUGUUCAUGUGUCAAGUUUUUGCAAUCUCUCAAGGAGGCCACUUGUGAUGUCAGGUUGUUAUCAGUCAUGGAAACUGACUCAUCAGUCUUCAGAGAAUUUCACAGAAAAUCUUCAGGCAAGGUUAUGAAAGAUGAGAGGCCUCAAAAUUGUGAAAAAGCCAUUCUGUGAAUACGAGUCUUUGAUGCCUAAAGAACAUUCUUUCUUGAUUGAGAAAUGAACAGAUGAUACAUGAACCAACCCUGUUAAAAGUAGUAACUAAAACACAAUAAAUAGGUAACAACUUAUCUUACCUAUUUAUUCAUGACAAAUGAGGAUUUAAUUUUUUUUUGAGAAGGGAAGGGUCAUACCUAUGAUUGUAUCA